AUACAGAUGGUGCGAGCGUUAAUCGGAAUUACUGGGCGUAAAGCGCGCGUAGGCGGCUUAUUAAGUCAGAUGUGAAAUCCCCGGGCUCAACCUGGGAGCUGCAUCUGAUACUGGUAAGCUAGAGUUUUGGAGAGGGAAGUAGAAUUUCAGGUGUAGCGGUGAAAUGCAUAGAGAUCUGAAGGAAUACCAGUGGCGAAGGCGACUUCCUGGCCAAAAACUGACGCUGAGGUGCGAAAGCGUGGGUAGCAAACGGGAUUAGAAACCCUAGUAGUCC
rnacentral:rRNA from 1 species